CGUGGGUGACCUGCCUCAGAGUGGGGGAUAACGACCCGAAAGGGGUCGCUAAUACCGCAUAACAUCCUGCCUUUGGAUAGGUGGAGAUCAAAGCUGGGGAUCGCAAGACCUGGCGCUUGGAGAGGGGCCCGCGGCCGAUUAGCUAGUUGGUGAGGUAACGGCUCACCAAGGCGACGAUCGGUAUCCGGCCUGAGAGGGCGGACGGACACACUGGGACUGAGACACGGCCCAG
rnacentral:rRNA from 1 species